UCUGUAGAAAUAUUUAUACCCAAAGAGAAGGGUGCCUUCCAGCUCUAGGAUGCUAUAAUGUAAACAUUUUGCUAUAAAUGAAGUGCUUUGUGAACGAGUUUACCCAUUCCCUCGGAAACUUCAAGUGCAUGAUUUUACCUAAAAACAUCUCUCUUUGCCCCAUAGGCUUGGCUUAAAGGUAAAUAGCCCUGACAAUUCUGCUCACAAGGAAGGAGCCAAGAGUUUAUCGGAUAUAAGGCAGUUCCCUCCACCGACCCACCAAAGGGGCCAAAAAAAAAACCAAAAACCAAAACUCUUGACUCAAAAGCCUAGAGUUCCCGUUGCGGCUCAAUGGAAACAAACGCAAUGAGUAUCCAUGAGGAUGCAGUUCAAUCCCUGGCCUCCCUCAAUGGGUUAAGGAUCCGGCGUCACGGUGAGCUGCGGUGUAGGAUGCAGUCCCCGGUUGGAUCUGGCGUUGCUGGGGCUGUGGGGUAGGCUGGCAGCUGCAUCUCCAAUUCAUCGCCCAGCCUGGGAAGGUCCAUAUGCCACAGAUGCAGCCCCGAAAAUAAAAAUAAAAAUAAAAAAUGAAAUUCUUAUGUGUACCCAGUUGGACUGCCUUUCAGUGUAGCCUCAUUUUUCUUUUCUGGCUCUGCUACCAUCUUCGCUCACCUGACUGCUCCAUAAAGGCUUUCUUUGAAGCAGGAGUGUCUCGAAGGCUACCAGUGGCAGCUGGAAGGGGAUGAUGGUUCAUUACACCAGGCAGAGCUGGGCUUCUGAGAACUCUCCUUGCAGGUGAGUAAGAGGCCACAGCACCAGGGACCAUAGGGCCAGCCUCCAGGCGGCUGAAACAGCUGGACUUUCCUCCUGUUAUUCCCUGAUCUCUCCCUUGCAUAGGCCCUCUUGUCCUUUCGCCCAGCCCUCUUUUUCCUGUUUUUCUUCUCUCCUCUUUCUCCCUGUUGAGCUGGGGUCUUUGUCACUGAAGCAUUAGGUCUUAACUCCAGUUCCUCCCAAUGUCUGCAGCAUCCGUAUGCUUGGUUGUUCCCCUUUUCUUCUUCCAGACACCUCCUAUCUCCACUUCAUGUCCCACACCCCCCCAAAUCUACUAUCUUUUAUGCCACCCGAAAGCCCCAAUGCUGUCACUUCAGCCACAGUGGCAAGAGUUUCCUUAUGGGUACUUUUAUCUGGAAUAUGGGCUUUUUUACACAUCCCCAAUCACCGUUCUCUUCCUCCUUGAUUUUUGUGUGGAACGUUGCUGCCCUGACUGCAAGCCGCAGCUUUUUUUGCAGCUAGAAAUUGCCCUGGAACAAAGAGAUGGAACCAAAACUGUUGUGUGCAUUGUCCAGAAAAUAUCCUUAAAAGAGGCCAUAGGGAGUUCCCGUCGUGGCUCAGUGGUUAACGAAUCCGACUAGCAACCAUGGGGUUGUGGGUUUGAUCCCUGGCCUUACUCAGUGGGUUAAGGAUCCGGCGUUGCCGUGAGCUGUGGUGUAGGUCACAGAUGCGGCUUGGAUCCCGUGUUGCUGUGGCUCUGGCGUAGGCCAACGGCUAUAGCGCCGAUUCGACCCCUAGCCUGGGAACCUCCAUAUGCUGCGCAUGCAGCCCUGGAAAAAUACAAAAAGAGCAAAAAAAAAAAAAAAAAAAAAAAAAAAAAAGAGGCCAUGGGACACAUUGCUUUGCUCCUUCCCAGUUCUUACUGAUGGGAGGAGAAAUAUGCUGUCUGGAUCUGGAGCUUGAGUCACCGGCCUGGCUCGCGAGGCCCCACACUUGAGCACAUCAGAGCAUUGAGACUUGGUCUCUACUAAUUAGGCUCCCCUCCACACCAACCAAAUGCUGUUACUCGAGGGAAAAAGUAAACUGCUAUCAAAUCUAAACCUGUUAUUUAUUUAUUUGUUUGUUUGUUUGUUUAUUUAUUUAUUCUUUUAUGGCUGCACCUGCAGCAUAUGGAAGUUCCCAGGCUAGGGGCUGAAUUGGAGCUGCAGCUGCCAGCC
rnacentral:lncRNA from 1 species